UGUCCUGUAGCUAAAUGGUAUAGCGUUCGUCUGAUAAACGAAAGGCAAAGGUUCGAUUCCUUUCAGGAGUAA